rnacentral:ncRNA from 1 species
UUCUACCUGAAGUUUCCCUCAGAAUAGCUGGAAUACGUAAUAAAGCUGUUCUAUUCGAUAAAGCUCGUGGGACGAUACGUCAUCUUCAAUCUCUUCUCAAAAUUUCAAUAAGUAUAACUUCUUGCUUGCUUGAAUGAAGCAUAGACAUGAAUAUGUGCUUCAUGUAGGCCAUUUUUUGUCAGCAGAACUGGUGCUGUGGAAUGAACCCGAAGUUAAGUUAAAGUAACUUAAAGUUAAGUUAAAGUAAGAAUUUGAAAUGGAAAA